rnacentral:rRNA from 1 species
GAUGAACGCUGGCGGCGUGCCUAAUACAUGCAAGUCGAGCGAACAGACGAGGAGCUUGCUCCUCUGACGUUAGCGGCGGACGGGUGAGUAACACGUGGAUAACCUACCUAUAAGACUGGGAUAACUUCGGGAAACCGGAGCUAAUACCGGAUAAUAUAUUGAACCGCAUGGUUCAAUAGUGAAAGACGGUUUUGCUGUCACUUAUAGAUGGAUCCGCGCCGCAUUAGCUAGUUGGUAAGGUAACGGCUUACCAAGGCAACGAUGCGUAGCCGACCUGAGAGGGGGGCGGCCCACACGGGACCUGCGCCCGGGCCCAGCCUCCGCCGGGAGGAGCCAGUGGGAAAUCGUCAGGAGGGGGCGAAGACCUAACGGACCAACCCCGGGGGGGUGAUGAGGUUUUUGGAACCGAAAAACUCUGUUUUUGGGAAAAAACAAUGGUUUAAGAAACAAGGCCCUUCUUAAGGGAACCUAAUCAAAAAGCCACGGCAAACUACGUC